AGAAGAAGUUGAAGAUGAUGAUGAUGAUGAUGAUGAUGGUGUGCUUGAUAAUUCCAUAUGCUAGUUAUGAACGCCAUCAUAAUCAUCGUCAUCACCAUCAUUUUUG
rnacentral:miRNA from 1 species